rnacentral:pre_miRNA from 12 species
GUUGUCAUGAAUGUCCCAUGUUGUAGCACGUGUAAACAUCCUACACUCUCAGCUGUGAACUCGAGGUGGCUGGGAGAGGAUUGUUUACGCCUUCUGCCAUGGAGUGAACGCCUGGGAGCUGC